CAGUCGCCGCGGUAAAACGGAGGGGGCUAGCGUUGUUCGGAAUUACUGGGCGUAAAGCGCACGUAGGCGGCUUGGUAAGUUAGAGGUGAAAGCCCGGAGCUCAACUCCGGAAUUGCCUUUAAGACUGCCGAGCUAGUAGGUGAGAGAGGUAAGUGGAAUUCCAAGUGUAGAGGUGAAAUUCGUAGAUAUUCGGAAGAACACCAGUGGCGAAGGCGGCUUACUGGCUCAUUCUAGACGCUGAGGUGCGAAAGCGUGGGGAGCAAACAGGAUUAGAUACCCAGUAGUCCCUGUCUCUUAUACA
rnacentral:rRNA from 1 species